rnacentral:rRNA from 1 species
GAUGAACGCUGGCGGCGUGCCUAAUACAUGCAAGUCGAGCGAACGGACGAGAAGCUUGCUUCUCUGAUGUUAGCGGCGGACGGGUGAGUAACACGUGGAUAACCUACCUAUAAGACUGGGAUAACUUCGGGAAACCGGAGCUAAUACCGGAUAAUAUUUUGAACCGCAUGGUUCAAAAGUGAAAGACGGUCUUGCUGUCACUUAUAGAUGGAUCCGCGCUGCAUUAGCUAGUUGGUAAGGUAACGGCCUACCAAGGCAACGAUGCAUAGCCGACCUGAGAGGGUGAUCGGCCACACUGGAACUGAGACACGGUCCAGACUCCUACGGGAGGCAGCAGUAGGGAAUCUUCCGCAAUGGGCGAAAGCCUGACGGAGCAACGCCGCGUGAGUGAUGAAGGUCUUCGGAUCGUAAAACUCUGUUAUUAGGGAAGAACAUAUGUGGAAGUAACUGUGCACAUCUUGACGGUACCUAAUCAGAAAGCCACGGCUAACUACGUG